rnacentral:rRNA from 1 species
GAAAGCCUGACGGAGCAAUACCGCGUGAGGGAGGAAGGCCUUUGGGUUGUAAACCUCUUUUCUUAAGGAAGAAGAUCUGACGGUACUUAAGGAAUCAGCAUCGGCUAACUCCGUGCCAGCAGCCGCGGUAAUACGGAGGAUGCAAGCGUUAUCCGGAAUUAUUGGGCGUAAAGCGUCCGCAGGCGGCACUAUAAGUCUGCUGUCAAAGACCGCAGCUCAACUGCGGAAAGGCAGUGGAAACUGUAGAGCUAGAGUACGGUAGGGGUAGAGGGAAUUCCCAGUGUAGCGGUGAAAUGCGUAGAGAUUGGGAAGAACACCAGUGGCGAAAGCGCUCUACUGGGCCGUAACUGACGCUCAGGGACGAAAGCUAGGGGAGCG